GCGGAAGUCAAUGUUCGGCUCUGAAGUGCCUUUAGAAACAGAUUGUUAAAUGCCAGAUUUAAAUGCAUGACGAGUCAGGAGCCACAGGACACUGUGGAGUGAGAGUGCAUGCCAUGUGGAUUGUUUAUUGUGCCAUCGCAGCUGCAGAAAAUAAUUACUAUUUGCAAAAGUGUUCUAAGAUAAACAUCUGGGUGGAGUGAAUGAACGGGGGCCUGGAACCCAGCCAGUCCAUGGUUGCUGUGGAGACGUGAGUCUGGAAGAACACUGCUGCACCUUCAAGCCAUUUGGGAAUCUUGAGAGGAACUGGAGAAUUAUUAUGAUGGAGUAUUUUGAAUAUUUCAAAGCUGUUAUCUGUCAGUGUGGAUAGAGCUUCAAUCUCACAAUAAAGGCCUCAGAAAACGUUUUCACAACUAACCACCAAGAAAUGAGAAGACCCUGCUGCUGAUGUGUAAGAAAAAGAGAAGUCAGGAUAGAAGAGCAAAAUAGAAGAGAAAACUUAACCUGUACUGCCUGCUAUUCAGGACUCUAAUGUUAUCUGACAACAUCCAGACAAGAGUCUGUUUACCCACACUCCACAGGCCACUGCCUGGUCUUGGUCAAAAUGGCAUGCAUUAGU
rnacentral:lncRNA from 1 species